ACGAACGCUGGCGGCGUGCUUAAUACAUGCAAGUCAACUUGACUUAGAUAGCAAUAUCGAAAAGUAGGGUGGCGCACGGGUGCGUAACGCGUAGGUAAUCUGCCCUGAGGUCUGACAUAACCCGUCGAGAGGCGGGCUAACAUCAGAUGAUAUAUAAUCACGACAUCGUGGAAAUAAUCAAAUCUUCGGAGCCUUGGGAUGAGCCUGCGUCUGAUUAGGUAGUUGGCGGAGUAAUAGCCCACCAAGCCUACGAUCAGUAGCUGGUCUGAGAGGAUGAUCAGCCACACUGGAACUGAGACACGGUCCAGACUCCUACGGGAGGCAGCAGUAAGGAAUAUUGCUCAAUGGGGGGAAACCCUGAAGCAGCAACGCCGCGUGAAGGAUGAAAUACUUUGUAUGUAAACUUCUGUAAGAUGGGAAAAAUAUUCUCCUCGGGAGAAUUGAUUGUACCAUCAGAGUAAGCCCCGGCUAACUACGUG
rnacentral:rRNA from 1 species